CGGCGAGUGAAGCGGCAAAAGCUCAAAUUUGAAAUCUGGCACCUUCGGUGUCCGAGUUGUAAUUUGAAGAAGGUAACUUUGGAGUUGGCUCUUGUCUAUGUUCCUUGGAACAGGACGUCACAGAGGGUGAGAAUCCCGUGCGAUGAGAUGCCCAAUUCUAUGUAAAGUGCUUUCGAAGAGUCGAGUUGUUUGGGAAUGCAGCUCUAAGUGGGUGGUAAAUUCCAUCUAAAGCUAAAUAUUGGCGAGAGACCGAUAGCGAACAAGUACAGUGAUGGAAAGAUGAAAAGAACUUUGAAAAGAGAGUGAAAAAGUACGUGAAAUUGUUGAAAGGGAAGGGCUUGAGAUCAGACUUGGUAUUUUGCAAGCCUUACCUUCGUGGUGGGGUCCCCUGCAGUUUACUGGGCCAGCAUCGGUUUGGAUGGUAGGAUAAUGACUUGGGAAUGUGACUUUGCUUCGGUAAAGUGUUAUAGCCCUUGUUGAUACUGCCUGUCUAGACCGAGGACUGCGUCUUUGACUAGGAUGCUGGCAUAAUGAUCUUAAGUCGCCCGUCUUGA
rnacentral:rRNA from 1 species